AUUGAACGCUGGCGGCAGGCCUAACACAUGCAAGUCGAACGAGUGGCGGACGGGUGAGUAAUGUCUGGGAAACUGCCCGAUGGAGGGGGAUAACUACUGGAAACGGUAGCUAAUACCGCAUACCAUCGGAUGUGCCCAGAUGGGAUUAGCUUGUAGGUGAGGUAACGGCUCACCUAGGCGACGAUCCCUAGCUGGUCUGAGAGGAUGACCAGCCAGACUGGAACUGAGACGCGGUCCAUACUCCAAGGUGAGGCAGCAGAGGGGAAUAUUACGCAAUGGGCGCAAACCUGAUACAGCCAGGCCGCUUGUAUGAAGAAGGCCUUCGAGUUGUAAAGUACUUUCAGCGGGGAGGCGUUACCCACAGAAAAAGCACCGGCUAACUCCGUGCCAGCAGCCGCGGUAAUUC
rnacentral:rRNA from 1 species